rnacentral:rRNA from 1 species
GAUGAACGCUGGCGGCGUGCCUAAUACAUGCAAGUCGAGCGAACGGACGAGAAGCUUGCUUCUCUGAUGUUAGCGGCGGACGGGUGAGUAACACGUGGAUAACCUACCUAUAAGACUGGGAUAACUUCGGGAAACCGGAGCUAAUACCGGAUAAUAUUUUGAACCGCAUGGUUCAAAAGUGAAAGACGGUCUUGCUGUCACUUAUAGAUGGAUCCGCGCUGCAUUAGCUAGUUGGUAAGGUAACGGCUUACCAAGGCAACGAUGCAUAGCCGACCUGAGAGGGUGAUCGGCCACACUGGAACUGAGACACGGUCCAGACUCCUACGGGAGGCAGCAGUAGGGAAUCUUCCGCAAUGGGCGAAAGCCUGACGGAGCAACGCCGCGUGAGUGAUGAAGGUCUUCGGAUCGUAAAACUCUGUUAUUAGGGAAGAACAUAUGUGUAAGUAACUGUGCACAUCUUGACGGUACCUAAUCAGAAAGCCACGGCUAACUACGUGCCAGCAGCCGCGGUAAUACGUAGGUGGCAAGCGUUAUCCGGAAUUAUUGGGCGUAAAGCGCGCGUAGGCGGUUUUUUAAGUCUGAUGCGAAAGCCCACGGCUCAACCGUGGAGGGUCAUUGGAAACUGGAAAACUUGAGUGCAGAAGAGGAAAGUGGAAUUCCAUGUGUAGCGGUGAAAUGCGCAGAGAUAUGGAGGAACACCAGUGGCGAAGGCGACUUUCUGGUCUGUAACUGACGCUGAUGUGCGAAAGCGUGGGGAUCAAACAGGAUUAGAUACCCUGGUAGUCCACGCCGUAAACGAUGAGUGCUAAGUGCUAGGGGGUUUCCGCCCCUUAGUGCUGCAGCUAACGCAUUAAGCACUCCGCCUGGGGAGUACGACCGCAAGGUUGAAACUCAAAGGAAUUGACGGGGACCCGCACAAGCGGUGGAGCAUGUGGUUUAAUUCGAAGCAACGCGAAGAACCUUACCAAAUCUUGACAUCCUUUGACAACUCUAGAGAUAGAGCUUUCCCCUUCGGGGGACAAAGUGACAGGUGGUGCAUGGUUGUCGUCAGCUCGUGUCGUGAGAUGUUGGGUUAAGUCCCGCAACGAGCGCAACCCUUAAGCUUAGUUGCCAUCAUUAAGUUGGGCACUCUAAGUUGACUGCCGGUGACAAACCGGAGGAAGGUGGGGAUGACGUCAAAUCAUCAUGCCCCUUAUGAUUUGGGCUACACACGUGCUACAAUGGACAAUACAAAGGGCAGCGAAACCGCGAGGUCAAGCAAAUCCCAUAAAGUUGUUCUCAGUUCGGAUUGUAGUCUGCAACUCAACUACAUGAAGCUGGAAUCGCUAGUAAUCGUAGAUCAGCAUGCUACGGUGAAUACGUUCCCGGGUCU